rnacentral:rRNA from 1 species
CCUACGGGUGGCAGCAGUGGGGAAUAUUGCACAAUGGGGGAACCCCUGAUGCAGCGACGCCGCGUGAGUGAAGAAGUAUUUCUGUAUGUAAAGCUCUAUCAGCAGGGAAGAAAAUGACGGUACCUGUCUAAGAAGCCCCGGCUAACUACGUGCCAGCAGCCGCUGUCAUACGGAGGGGGCAAGCGUUAUUCGGAUUUACUGGGGUUAAAGGGAGCGUAGACGGCCAGACAAGUCAGAAGGGAAAGCCCAGGGCUCAACCCUGGGACUGCUUUUGAAACUGGCGGGCUGGAGUGGAGGAGAGGUAUGCGGAAUUCCUAGUGUAGCGGUGAAAUGCGUAGAUAUUAGGAGGAACACCAGUGGCGAAGGCGGCUUACUGGACUGUAACUGACGUUGAGGCUCGAAAGCGUGGGGAGCGAACAGGAUUAGAUACCCGAGUAGUC